UGCCACAUAUAUCCCCAUCCACGUGUGCCGCGCAAGGCGCUUUUCCAUCCACGUCUUUCUCCUUCAACCAUGGGACUUGUUGCAAUUAUUCAGUGCAUGGAAGUUGAAAAGUCCCUCCUCCUCCAAGGCAAGGGGCGAGCUGGGUCUGAUAUAGGUGCCGAAGUCGGCUCCUUCAUGACCAGUAUCUGUGACGAGAGGGGCCUGGAGCUGAUCUAUGCUGCCAUGCCUAUCAGGAGUUCUCUGACUGAUACAUGGGGCUGUGUAUUCUUCAAACAUGUCAGGGAACUCCUGUCUUAUAUGGGACACCAUACAGAAAGGACAAUGACCCAAAACUCACCUCCAGGCUGUGUAAGGGCUAUUUGACCAAGUGCUGCAUCAGAUGACCUGGCCUCCACAAUCACUCAACCUC